GGCCAUUUUGUGGGGGCCAGACCCCGGGGGGGAAAGGGCGUCCCGGGGCGGCGUGGCUGUGUGGUGUUCGGGCAUUUUCACGCGUGUUUUUGAGGAACGAUUCGCAAAGCGGGGCAGGGCCGAGCCCCAGGAGGUGCCGGCGGCCGUCCGGGCCGUGGGUUCCCGCCCUGCUCUUCGCCCCCGAGCGCCCGCACAGCGGAGGCCCCUGGCCGUCCUGCAUGCCGGCCCUCGGCUGGUGCCUGCCUGCUGCCGGGCGUCUUCGGCCUGCGGUCAUCGUGUGUGUGCGUUGUCUUAAAACAACCCCAAAGAGAAAGAGUUACUCUCCUGGCAGUUGCCUCGCUUAGGCGGUGCAAAGGCCUAGUUACAGGGGUGUGGUGCGACACCGUGUUUUUCUUUGUCCUGUAACAAAGGUAGCUCAUCCCCCACUGCUUCGUCUGAGUGAUAUUGCGUAAGGAUUAAUAUCAGCUUUUCCCUGUUUCUAGUACUAGCUUGUAUGUGUUUAACCAGUGGAAGCGUGGUGCCCGUGUCUCCUAGUACUGUAUGGCAGUCGGCUCCCCGCAGCGGAGCAGCUCCCGAGGGUGUCAGCACCUCGCCAGCACGCUCCUGAAGGUACCGUCCAGGCCUCGGCACUUGGCUGUUCUUUCUUCAGGGUCCCCAAGGAAAUUCCGCUUAGGGCAGCCACUCACUCAGAUACUCCUUCAGCUUUCAGUGGCUUUUUGUCUCUAGUGAUCUUCCAAGCACAGCUGUAAAACAUGGGACAUUUUAUAUCCUUUGUCCCCCUUCCUAAAAACAGACACCUUAUUUCUUCCCUUGUGGUAGGUAGUACGGUUGUAACUACAAUGGUCGGUGAUAAUAGGACGCAGACAAGGCCAGGCCCGCAGGCAGAGGCAAACUGGAAUUCGAGAUCAGUUUGCAGCUGCAGGGUCAUUGUAUUCAUCUACUCCGUACCUGGUGCUUUUCCAAAGAUGCAGGAGCAAACUGCUGCAGACUGUAGUCUUUUGCAAUUGUGGAAUAUCCUGCCUAUUAGGAUUGUGCAUGUUGCUGGAGCAGUAUGGUUUGACUCAUGAAACUAAUUUGUGGACUGAUGAAAUAUUCUUUCCCUACAUAUUGAUGUGAUCAGUUGCUGAGUGAGAAGCAGCUCACCUACACAACCACUUUCCAGCCAGACACAACUAAAUGAUGGGUUGAACACUGCCAUCCACCGGCUGGCUGAACAGAAAACUUGUUGCACUUAAAUUUCUUUAAGGUCCUGACGUGCCUGAGGAAGACAGUGUCAGAGUAGGAUGGAAUUUAACUUAGGAAACGACAGCAAGAUCCAACACCAUCUUUACUAAUAAAACCAGUAUGUGACAGAUUUCAGUGUUGUGCCUCAUUCUGACGUUAGCUACAACUGUAUUAUCCUGAAGCAACUCAUUGAUAGUGACCAAACUAUUUACAGAGUUAAAAAAAAAAAAAAACAAAAACAAACCACCAAAACCAAUCCAGAACUUGAUGUUUUCACUGCAAGGGUGUCUGAGGCAAAUUUCAAAGAUGGUGUGAUUGAUUAGAAGGUGUAUAGUAAUGCAGGAUGAUG